rnacentral:rRNA from 1 species
AUUGAACGCUGGCGGCAGGCUUAACACAUGCAAGUCGAGCGAGCGGCGGACGGGUGAGUAAUGUCUGGGAAACUGCCUGAUGGAGGGGGAUAACUACUGGAAACGGUAGCUAAUACCGCAUACCAUCAGAUGUGCCCAGAUGGGAUUAGCUAGUAGGUGGGGUAAUGGCUCACCUAGGCGACGAUCUCUAGCUGGUCUGAGAGGAUGACCAGUCACACUGGAACUGAGACACGGUCCAGACGCCUACGGGAGGCAGCAGUGGGGAAUAUUGCACAAUGGGCGCAAGCCUGAUGCAUCCAUGCCGAGUGUAUGAAGAAGGCCUUCGGGUUGUAAAGUACUUUCAGCGAGGAGGCUUUACUCUCAGAAGAAGCACCGGCUAACUCCGUGCCAGCAGCCGCGGUAAUAC